GGAGGAUGGCCCUCCGGGAUCGGCUUUCAGGAGCGGGUCUCAAACCAGUCCGAGCUGCUGCGGUAAAGAGCCGUGGUGGUGAGCGCCGGAUGAAAAGUCCGGACGAGAUCCGAGCAGGU
rnacentral:ncRNA from 1 species